UGUGCCGCAAUAGUAAUUCAACUUAGUACGAGAGGAACCGUUGAUUCGCACAAUUGGUAAUUGCGCUUGGUUGAAAAGCCAGUGGCGCGAAGCUACCAUGCGUGGGAUUAUGACUGAACGCCUCUAAGUCAGAAUCCGUGCUAGAUGCGGUGCUCUCUACCUCCUCAGCUGUUACCUGAUUAAGGUUAGGGGGGCCCCGUGCUCCCCCGAGAACACAUGACGCGAGCGCCGUCCCCCGGGGCCGAUGCUGCCCCGGGGGCGUGGCUUGGAAAUCCAAUUUCGAACGGUCGAGGAGAUAAAUCCUUUGCAGACGACUUAAAUAGGGGACGGGGUACUGUAAGUGGCAGAGUAGCCUUGCUGCUACGAUCCGCUGAGGUUCAUCCCUCUGUCCCACCGAUUU
rnacentral:ncRNA from 1 species